AUAAGAUAAAAUGGUCUUUUUAAUUUAUUUAAGGGUAAAAUUAUCAUUUCGUUUAAAUUACUUAACGGUGUUAGUACAAAAGUAGCUAAUUGAUACAAAUUUGAAAAAAAAGGUGGUGCAGAGAACAUGUUAGAAUUUUGUGGUGGUUGGAUGAACAUAAGGUAAAACAAAUGUGGUGUAAUGAUAAUUUCUCUUUUAAUAAUUGAAGAGAUCACUUAUAUAUAUAGAGAGAGAGAGUUAGUGGUCUAUGUUUGAUGCUUGUCUUCUCUCUUACAUUCUCAAUUUGGUGGUUCUCUCUUUCUAAAUCCUUGAACUCUCAAUUCCUAGUUCUCACUUUUUCAAGUUUGCAAGUUUUUUCUCAUUUCAUUUUUAUGGAAGAGGUCCACCUCAAACAGAAGUCCAAAGAUGACAAAAUCAGGACCUACAUCUGCAUUGAUAUUCUUAGAUCUACAUUUGAAUCUGCAAAAAAUAUAUGAGGAUUUGGAUGUCAGUAAUAUUUAUAUAGAUUGCGAGUGAAUAUUUUAGAUAUCCAAUUCGCAUAAAUUGAAAUUCAAUAAGGGAAAAUAUCCACCGUCCACCUAUUUUUUACACCUUUUUAAAAAAUACACAAUUUCUUCAUUUUUUGGCUGGAAUCCACCUAAAGUUAUAUUUUGUUUCACUUUUCCACUUCCGUUUGGAAUCUGUUAAGAAAACUAAUAGAAACUUAAAAAAAUGACCA
rnacentral:lncRNA from 1 species